UACGGAGGGUGCGAGCGUUAAUCGGAAUACUGGGCGUAAAGACGCAUGCAGGUGGUUUGUUAAGUUCAGAUGUGAAAAGCCCCGGGGCUCAACCUCGGAAUAGCAUUUGAAACUGGCAGACUAGAGUACUGUAGAGGGGGGUAGAAUUUCAGGUGUAGCGGUGAAAUGCGUAGAGAUCUGAAGGAAUACCGGUGGCGAAGGCGGCCCCCUGGACAGAUACUGACACUCAGAUGCGAAAGCGUGGGGAGCAAACAGGAUUAGAUACCCGCGUAGUCC
rnacentral:rRNA from 1 species